UUGGGUUGUAAACCGCUUUUCUCAGGGAAGAAGGUCUGACGGUACCUGAGGAAUCAGCAUCGGCUAACUCCGUGCCAGCAGCCGCGGUAAUACGGAGGAUGCAAGCGUUAUCCGGAAUUAUUGGGCGUAAAGCGUCCGCAGGUGGUUGGACAAGUCUGCUGUCAAAGCGUGGAGCUUAACUCCAUAAAGGCGGUGGAAACUGUUUGACUAGGGUAUGGUAGGGGUCACGGGAAUUCCCAGUGUAGCGGUGAAAUGCGUAGAUAUUGGGAAGAACACCAGCGGCGAAAGCGCGUGAC
rnacentral:rRNA from 1 species